GACGAACGCUGGCGGCGUGCUUAACACAUGCAAGUCGAACGGUGAAGCUCCAGCUUGCUGGAGUGGAUCAGUGGCGAACGGGUGAUUAACACUUGAUCAACCUGCCCCUGACUCUGUUAUAAUCGCUGGAAACGGCGUCUAAUACUGGAUACUAGAAGGCUCCGCAUUUGCCCUUUCUGGAAUGUUUUUCGUUUGGGGAUGGGCUCGCGGCCUAUCAGCUUGUUGGUGAGGUAAUGGCUCGCCAAGGCGACGACGGGUAGCCGGCCUGAGAGGGGGACCGGACAAACUGGGACUGAGACACGGCACAGACUCGUACGGGAGGCAGCAGUGGGGAAGAGUGCACAAUGGGAGAAAGCCUGAUGCAGCGACGCCGCGUGAGGGAUGACGGCAUUCGGGUAGGAAACCACUUUCAGCAGGGAAGAAGAGAAAGUGACGGUACCUGCAGAAGAAGCACCGGCUAACUACGUG
rnacentral:rRNA from 1 species